AGAUUAGAGUUUGAUCCUGGCUCAGAACGAACGCUGGCGGCAGGCUUAACACAUGCAAGUCGAGCGCCCUGCUUGCAGGGAGCGGCAGACGGGUGAGUAACGCGUGGGAACGUGCCUAUUGGUUCGGAAUAGCCCUGGGAAACUGGGUGUAAUACCGAAUGUGCCCUUCGGGGGAAAGAUUUAUCGCCAAUAGAUCGGCCCGCGUUAGAUUAGCUAGUUGGUGGGGUAAAAGCCUACCAAGGCUACGAUCUAUAGCUGGUCUGAGAGGAUGAUCAGCCACACUGGGACUGAGACACGGCCCAGACUCCUACGGGAGGCAGCAGUGAGGAAUCUUGGACAAUGGGCGAAAGCCCGAUCCAGCCAUGCCGCGUGAAUGAUGAAGGCCUUAGGGUUGUAAAAUUCUUCCAGCAGGGAAGAUAAUGACGGUACCUGCAGAAGAAGCCCCGGCUAACUCCGUGCCAGCAGCCGCGGUAAUACGGAGGGGGCUAGCGUUGUUCGGAAUUACUGGGCGUAAAGCGCUCGUAGGCGGAUUGGUCAGUCAGAGGUGAAAGCCCAGGGCUCAACCUUGGAAUUGCCUUUGAUACUGCCAGUCUUGAGUUCGGGAGAGGUGAGCGGAAUUCCGAGUGUAGAGGUGAAAUUCGUAGAUAUUCGGAGGAACACCAGAGGCGAAGGCGGCUCACUGGACCGAUACUGACGCUGAGGAGCGAAAGCGUGGGGAGCAAA
rnacentral:rRNA from 1 species